GAGUAUGUGCAUGAGGGAGUAGGAUGUAUAGCUGUUAGGUAGACAACUAAAAUCUCUCACGACAGACAG
rnacentral:pre_miRNA from 1 species